CGCUGUUGAAUACACCUGGUGAAAUUGGACACCCUUGUCUUGUUCUUGGCCUCAGAAGGGAAGUUCUCAAACUCUUACAACUGAGGGUGACGUUAACUCUGAGGUUUUCGUUGGUGGCCUUUAUCAGAUUGAAGAAGUUCCCUUACAUUCUGAAUUUGGGCAGAAUUUUAAAAAUCAUUUAUUCAUGAAUCUGGAAUGGAUUCCCUCUCUCCCAACCCCCACACACACGAUGACAAGAGGAAAAGAUGGCAAACAGUGGUGUCUGUUUACAGUGGUCUUAUUACACAGUGAUGAUACAAUUCUCAAAUCAGUCUACUGAUCACAACAGAGGACGCUAACAUCAAUGAACUCAACACGAUCACGUUUACAAAGUUCAUCAAAAUCGGGUCUUUCUCAUGAAAGAGGAUUUGGAGCAGGACCUCAGACAAGAAAAACAGCACAGUUCUCUCUUACAAUGUCUAUUUCACGGCACUCUGCCUCCACAGAGGAGCUAGCUAGUGAAGUUCAGAGUUCACUUGGGGGGUUGCCUUGCAAGUUUCAACCUCAGCCUCUUAGUCUCCUGGAGGUCAGAUUGGCUAAUGCCCAGAAGUUGUGUGUGUGUGUGUGUGUGUGUGUGUGUGUGUGUGCACGCAUGCAUGCAAGCAGUCAGUCCUGUCUGACUUUUUGUGACCCCCAUGGACUGUAGCCCACCAGACUCCUUUGUCCAUGGGAUUUUCCAGGCAAGAAUACUGGAGUGGGUUGCCAUUUCCUUCUCCAUGAUCCUUCCUUCAAGUUUGGUAGAAUUCACAGUGAAGCUAUCUGAGUUGGGAAUUUUUUUUGUGGAAAAGGUUUAAUUACUAAUUAAAUCUCUUUGGUUAAAGUCUA